UUUUAAGAGAAAACAAACAAUAUAGUGCUAAAAAUCAUUCUAAAAAUACAGUGUUGAGCAGGGAUCGAACCCACAUUGCUGGAGUAAAACCCAACCAUUUUAACCACUUGCACUACCAAUUUCUUUUAUAUUGUGAGUGUCAAGCAUAAUAUUUAUACAUUAACUGAUACAUAUACACAAAUAUACAAAGUUUCAACCGAGAAGUGCGGAUGUCGUGGCACCCCAAACCUUUUACAUAGAUCCGCCUCUGUAUAUAUUGACUGACGCAUACAAUUUUGAUGUAUACUGUAUCUCUUUGUUAUACCUAGUUGAGCAUAAGUACUUGUAUGAAAUAUUAUACUGCAAAAAUAUAAACUUAUUCCUCAUUAAAAAAAUUGUUUUGAGGACAAAAAUUAAAGAGUAGCACAAAAUAGAUAGAUGUAAAAGUGCAAAAUGAGUAUACAUGUGUUGGGUGGUGUAAAAGUGAACAAAUGGGCCAGACCCGACCCAACUGCGGCCCAUAUCAUUAGGGUUUUUGACCUUCAUCUUCUUCCUCAGGCUCAGUACCCUUACAGCUCUCCCUGCCGCUGCAAUUUCGUCCAACAAUGGUAUCUCUCUGCUACCCUUGUGGUCCGGCCCUUGGCUUUAUGUAUAGCUUGUAACUAUUCCUUCUUGUUGUUGUGUAUAAUGUGAGCAGGCUUCAGAGAAGAAAUUGAACAACCUUAUGAGGGAUAUCAAGGUCGCAGGUCUUAACUGCUGCUGGAUUAAAUGUGGCGUAUCAAAGAUAAAUUAUCGACAAGGUCAAUGAACAUUUGUGUAGCAUCUCUUUGUAAAGCCAAACAAUUGGAGAAAGCUGAAGUUGUAAUAGUUGAUGGCGUAAGAAUUGGAGUACAACCAGAUGUGGUCACUUAUAAUACAUUGGUUACUGCGUAUUGCCGCUUUGUUGGCAUUGAUGCAGGUUAUUCCAUCCUAUAUAGAAUGAAAGAGGCUGGAAUUAACCCUGACGUUAUUACGUAUAACUCCUUAAUAGCUGGAGCUACCAGAUAUUGCAUGUUAUCUCGAUGUCUUGAUCUGUUUGAAGAAAUGCUUGAGAUGAGCAUUUUUCCUGA